CCUCACUCAUCGGGGAGCUCAUCUGCGCAUUUUUGUCGCAGAAGCUGAGAUCAGGCCAUCGCCUGGGACCCGUAUACCUGAACCAGAUAAUGCUGGCGUAGGAAUUGAGUCAGGAAUUUAA
rnacentral:ncRNA from 2 species